GUUUCUUUUAACAUAUCAAGAAGUCGAAUUGUCAGUGAAAAAGAAGUAAGAAGUUGAAAGCCAUCAUUGGCUUUAAUCAAAACCUAUAAACACAUACCAUGGUUCUUUUUUCACUGCCAAUUCGACUUCUUGAUAUGUUAAAAAAUAG
rnacentral:pre_miRNA from 1 species